UACGGAGGGUGCGAGCGUUGUCCGGAAUCACUGGGCGUAAAGGGUGCGUAGGUGGCUUGGAAAGUUUGAUGUGAAAGCUCAGGGCUUAACCCUGAAAUGGCAUUGAAUACUGCUGAGCUGGAGGUUUGGAGGGGGACUGGAAUUCUUGGUGUAGCAGUGAAAUGCGUAGAUAUCAAGAGGAACACCAGUGGCGAAGGCGAGUCCCUGGACAACACCUGACACUGAGGCACGAAAGCUAGGGGAGCAAACAGG
rnacentral:rRNA from 1 species